rnacentral:misc_RNA from 1 species
ACCCAACACUGGCACUGCCGUACACUCACCAACAACUACACACACGAUGCAGUCCGGGGGGCGAAACAACGCCGGCUGACUGCUCAUGGUGCAGAAAAAGCGCGGAUGCGCAGCCUAAAGCGAUCCAAAGCACAACGGAAGCACUCUUUGCCUGGGCCAAGCCUUACAUUGCAAGCUACUACAACAAGCAUGGCGGGGAGGAGAAUUGAGGCUCUCAAACCCCCCAUGUCACAGCCUUCGGAACCAUAAAACUAGCGAGGCAACACAACGGUUAGUAAAAAUAGCAACCCGCGAGGCUAUCAAAAUGCCCACAACACGUACGAUUUCUAAGAACCCCUUCGGAAGGGAAACACUGAAAUUAAGCACCGAACCAAAACGGUCGUGGUAKACUUUUCCGGACGUGCCAAGCACCGCGUAGAAAUCCUGCCUACGCCAUGCAGCAACACAUCCACGGACUCUCCUGCACGAUGGACCAC